UUAGAUUUUUUUGUUGUAAAACCUCUGUUUCUUGUAGUGUAUGUAUGAUCAGUACAUAUGACGAUGUAUAUUAAUAUAUGUGUGUGUAGGCAAAGCGGCGCAACAAGUGAAGGUCCCUGUGCCAGAAGGAUGCACUGAUCCUUCAGCAGCAAACUAUGAUCCCACUGCAAGGAGUGAUGAUGGAAGCUGUCAAUACCAGUUGGAGUGAUGAUGGCAAGUAAUCAUAUCUAUCACCAUCGCUAUCACCAUCACCAUCGUCAACAUAAUGGACUUCUUCCCUGCUUAAUAUGUAACUAUUUAUGUGUGUAUUCACCCCUUUGAAUUUAUCUGUAUAUGCACCAUUUGUAACAUUUACUGAAUUGCAAGUUUCAUGCAAUAUAUAAUUGUAUAUCUACCUUGAGUAGUUUCCUCUCGUUAUCUCCCUACCUCCGGGGAUCGUCGGAUUGAAUACAAAUCUCAUCUUCCUAUCAUCUUUAAAGAAAGAAAGAAAGAAAGAAAAAAUUAUACUUGGUCAAUGUAAUUGCAAAGAAUCACAGUGGCACAUACCCACCCUAGUUGCAUUUGAUCAUUUUUCCCCAGCUCAUAUCAAAUUUACCUAAAUAAUCGGGUAUAACACAAAGAUUUUACCUUUCUACACUGUUAAGUCCAGAAGAAUUCAGGUCUAUAUCAUCUACAAGCUUUUCUUCUACACUGCAAGUCUCAUUAUGUGCUUCACUACUUACCAACUUUGAAUUCAUCUCGCAGUAUAUGGCCUGAGAGUUUUAAUUUUGUACACUGUUUGGUGAGGGAGAAAUUUUCUGGUGUUGAACAAAACACAGCACAUGUGGUCACCCUUUGUCCACGUUAGUCAUCAUACCAGAAGCCAAAAGUGAUCGAAAUAGAUAAGGCAAUGACUGGUCUCUCUUAAUUCAUAAAAACAGAGAGAGGUUGUGGGAGAGAACAGUAGAGAC
rnacentral:lncRNA from 1 species